GUUAACUCUGGCGCCGUGCUGCUGUUUGGUGUUGUAUCGUUGAAGGUUGGGUCGACCACGGGUUUACUGAUGUCUUCUGGUCAUGGUGGAGACCAAGCAACAGCAGCGAAAGAAUACUACACUACGCCGCCGCCUUACUACGCAACAAAGUCAACAUACGCAACAUCUACUUACAACACCGAGGCCCCCCCCCCCCAAGUGCACACCACCAAUGCUCAAGAGUUACGCUACAAAUUACGCUGCCCAGAGUCACAUCACCAAAGCGCCUGAGUACUACAUCACCGAGGCACUACAACUGAGGCGGCGAAGUACUACGUAGUCCAGGCUUACAACACUGCAGCUACUCCUUCAUACUACGUUGAACUGAAAAACUACACCAAGGCUGCAGUUAACUACACCACAACCUACGCUACACCUAGCUACUAUGACGAAGCCCCAAACUACUACACCGAAGAGGCCACAUGUUACACAACGUACAGUGCCCCAGUUUACUACACCGAGGAACCCAAGUAUUACUCUGCUCCAAGCUUCUACCAAACUGAGGCUCCUGUUUGCUACACCAAGGCCACCGAGUAUUACAAUACAACCAAACGUAAACUAUGGCGUCGUACUGCUGUUGGUUGUAUUAUCCUUGAUCGGUGGGUUGACCACUGGUGUACCGAUGUCUCCUGGGUAUGGCGGAUACCAAACCGCAACGCCGGCGUCUUACCACACAACAUACGCAGCAACCGGAUACUACACCCCCAAGGCCCUAGAGUAUUACACCAUAACUUAUAAUGUCCCGAACUUCUACACCGAAGCUUCAAAGUUAAACUCAGUCCCGAGUUAAACCACCAAGGCAGCGGAGUAGUACACCACUUCUUACGCUGCUACCACCUACUACACCGAAGCUCCGAAGUUUUACUCUGUGCUGAGUUACCACACCAUUAAGGAAGCCGAACAUUACACCACAAACGCUUCCGCAACUUACUAUAUGGAGAUUCCUAAAUGCUAGAUCCGAAAUUUCUGUUUGAUUUUAUUUAGACAGGUCGGUUGUAUUCAUGGUCAUUGGUCAUUGGGAAUUAAUUGUUGAUCUUGAUUGAGAAAAUAAAAUUUCUAAUGCCGGUAA